rnacentral:lncRNA from 1 species
CUGUUGUAGAAGUUCAUCCGGAAUCCAUCCGCUAUGGAAGUUCAGGCAGAAUUCGAUUCUUGUAGAAGUCCGGAUGGGGAUCGCUUUUUGAAGAAGCUCAGCUAUAGUCCGCCUAUAACAGAAGUUCGAAAGGAAUUCGUUUACAGUAGAAGCUCGGAUGGAAUUUGCUUUAGUAGAGAUCCGGAGUAGACCGCUCGUCAUAGAAGUUCGGAGU